CUGAGGGCUCGCGAAGCUCGCGCUUGAACCGAGCAUCAGCGGCACCAACCUCAGAUAAUUGGAAAAAGGAAAGGACGCCUGAAUAUGAAGCACUCCCUGCUUAUCAUCGUAUUAAUAAUGUACGUCGCGGUUUUUGUCUGUGGCAGUGCGGCGGACUGCGUAGCUCGUGUGAACGCAAAUGAUUGUUCGUAUAAAGGCGUCACAAUUUACCGUGGUGGCUCGAGGUUCUUCCCGGAAGACUGCGUUUACGCAUCUUGUAAUUUCUUUGAUGACACAGUAAAGCUGGCUGGGUGUAGUUCAUCACGGCCACAAGGGGGUGCUUUGAAACAAUGCUGCGAAGGUUGCGGUAUAAAGCACUGAAGCAACACCACCAGUGCAUCCAGUGUUUUGGAGUUCUUUAAAAUUUCAUUGAGUACAAUGUGCAAGACACGGAAGUAUGUAAGCGCUAUCAAGCACGAUGGCGCUUGCAUUUUGCUCUGAAAUAAAAGAAUGUUUCUAAUGUUUA
rnacentral:lncRNA from 1 species